AACGAACGCUGGCGGCAUGCCUAACACAUGCAAGUCGAACGAAGGCUUCGGCCUUAGUGGCGCACGGGUGCGUAACGCGUGGGAAUCUGCCCCUCGGUUCGGAAUAACAGUUAGAAAUGACUGCUAAUACCGGAUGAUGACUUCGGUCCAAAGAUUUAUCGCGGAGGGAUGAGCCCGCGUAAGAUUAGGUAGUUGGUGGGGUCAAGGCCUAGCAAGCCGACGAUCUUUAGCUGGUCUGAGAGGAUGAUCAGCCACACGGGGACUGAGACACGGCCCAGAAUCCUACGGGAGGCAGCAGUGGGGAAUAUUGGACAAUGGGCGAAAGCCUGGUCCAGCAAUGCCGCGUGAGUGAUGAAGGCCUUAGGGUUGUAAAGCUCUUUUACCAGGGAUGAUAAUGACAGUACCUGGAGAAUAAGCUCCGGCUAACUCCGUGCCAGCCGCCGCGGUAA
rnacentral:rRNA from 1 species